GUCUUCUUCAACACUCUGGAAACUGUCACACUGGUGCAUUCUGGGAUGGACACAACGAGAAGCUCCGUGUUUAUAGCUCUACACGAUUUGAUCCGUCAAGCCAAGCUGAACCAAGCCGUGGACUUUGUCGACACGGUGUCUAGACUCCGACAAGACAUGCCCAACACGGUUCAAACCUAUGAGCAGUACAUGUAUCUGCACCACGCCGCGCAGGCUGGCAUCGCCUGUAUAGGCAGCUACACACACAUCAGCGCCAUCUUUCUCAAAGUACAUCUCAUGGGGAACGUUGUCAACGG